rnacentral:rRNA from 1 species
AGUGAACGCUGGCGGUAGGCCUAACACAUGCGAGUCGAACGGCAGCACAGUAAGAGCUUGCUCUUACGGGUGGCGAGUGGCGGACGGGUGAGGAAUACAUCGGAAUCUACUUUUUCGUGGGGGAUAACGUAGGGAAACUUACGCUAAUACCGCAUACGACCUACGGGUGAAAGCAGGGGAUCUUCGGACCUUGCGCGAUUGAAUGAGCCGAUGUCGGAUUAGCUAGUUGGCGGGGUAAAGGCCCACCAAGGCGACGAUCCGUAGCUGGUCUGAGAGGAUGAGCAGCCACACUGGAACUGAGACACGGUCCAGACUCCUACGGGAGGCAGCAGUGGGGAAUAUUGGACAAUGGGCGCAAGCCUGAUCCAGCCAUACCGCGUGGGUGAAGAAGGCCUUGGGUUGUAAAGCCCUUUUGUUGGGAAAGAAAAGCAGCAGGUUAAUACCCCGCUGUUCUGACGGUACCCAAAGAAUAAGCACCGGCUAACUUCGUG